UACGUAGGGUGCGAGCGUUGUCCGGAAUUAUUGGGCGUAAAGAGCUCGUAGGCGGCUUGUUGCGUCAGCUGUGAAAAACCCGCAGCUCAACUGUGGGCUUGCAGCUGAUACGGGCAGGCUUGAGUUCGGUAGGGGGAGACUGGAAUUCCUGGUGUAGCGGUGAAAUGCGCAGAUAUCAGGAAGGAACACCCAGUGGGCGAAAGGCAGG
rnacentral:rRNA from 1 species